rnacentral:rRNA from 1 species
GUGGGGAAUAUUGGACAAUGGGCGAAAGCCUGAUCCAGCCAAGCCGCGUGUGUGAAGAAGGUCUUCGGAUUGUAAAGCACUUUAAGUUGGGAGGAAGGGUAGUAACCUAAUACGUUGCUACUUUGACGUUACCGACAGAAUAAGCACCGGCUAACUUCGUGCCAGCAGCCGCGGUAAUACGAAGGGUGCAAGCGUUAAUCGGAAUUACUGGGCGUAAAGCGCGCGUAGGUGGUUCAGUAAGUUGGAAGUGAAAUCCCCGGGCUCAACCUGGGAACUGCUUUCAAAACUGCUGAGCUAGAGUACGGUAGAGGGUGGUGGAAUUUCCUGUGUAGCGGUGAAAUGCGUAGAUAUAGGAAGGAACACCAGUGGCGAAGGCGACCACCUGGACUGAUACUGACACUGAGGUGCGAAAGCGUGGGGAGCAAACAGGAUUAGAAACCCGAGUAGUCC